AAUUGAUUACUUUAUUAUUGUUUCUCUACAUUUUUACACAUAUAUUUUAUUUAUAUUUUGUUUUUAUGUGUAUCUGUUUGUGUGUCUGUAUGUAUCUGUCAAUGUGCACCUGAGUGUGUGUGUGUGUGUCUGUAUCUUUCAGUGUGUAUAUCUGUGUGUCUGUGUAUUUACAUGUAUGUCAGUGUGUGUCUGUAUGUGUCCUAUGUGUGUGUAUGUAUCAGAGUGCAUGUGUGUGUAUCUAUGUGUGUGUCUGUGUAUAUUUGGGUGCCAGAUUGCACCUGAGUGUGUACCUGAGUGUGUAUCUGUGUGUCUGUAUCUGGGUGUUAGUGUGCACGUGAAUGUAUGUGUGUGUAACUGUGUCUGUAUAUUUUCAUGUAUGUCAAUGCAUGUGCCUGUAUCUCCUAUGUGUGUGCAUGUGUGUAUCAGUGUGUGUAUGUGUCUGUAUCUGUGUGUCAGUUUACACCUGAGUGUGUCUGUGUAUAUGUGUGUAUGUCUAUGUAUCUGUGUCAGUGUGAACCUGAGUGUAUGUGUGUGUGUAACUAUGUGCCAAUAUGUGUAACUGUGUAUUUGCAUGUAUGUCAGGGUGUGUGUGUGGUGUGUGUGUGUUUAUAUACUACAGACAUAUGCACGCUUGCAUUCAAACACCAACAUUCAAAUACACACAUACUCCAUUCAAAACCAUGUUUAUAUUCAAACACACAUACACUGCUGUGUGCUAAAUACAGCCCUGCAAAUUAUAGAUCCAUAGCUAGCAAAGCAUUCUGGGACUUACAACAGAUUCGGAUCUAAUUUGGCCACUUUACACACACUGCAUCCACUAAACACACACUGCAUUGACUACACACACAGACUCUGCAUUCACUCUACACACAUAAUGCAUCUUUGUUGGCAGAUUCAAGGAUGGCCCUGUGGGCGGACUCGUGAGUGGGCACUGGGGGCCCAGACCUUGAACUUUGUCAGGGGCCCCAACAUUUCUGAUGGCAGCCCUG